UUCAGUAGGGUCUACUCCGGAUGUUACGUCACCAGUGACGUCACCAAGUUUGUUGCUGCGCCUGUCUCAUUGAAGUUGUAUUUCGGUGGGCUGUGUUGUAUUUUACUGUCACUGCCAGUAUUUCUUACAAUAUCUGAAAAUCAGAGACGAUGUUCCAAGAUAUGGAUGUUUUGUCAUGAUUAUAUGUUGCGCUGCACAAGCACGCGUGCAAAAAAUAAUCAACCCAGCGUUCAGAAUGUCAAGCAAAGUCCCGUAGCCUCGAGCUCAUCGGCAGUACCAGUACCGCUGACUGUAACUUAUAUCUUCAACAUCCAGCUCCUAGAGGGACACCAGCUGUAAGAACUCCUGUCAGCUUCAAGUCUAGAAACUUCAACAAAGGUGGACAUCUGGAGAAGCUGAAAGACAGAUCUGCAACAUAGUGAAACUGUUUUCUGCUUUCGGCAAAUGGACAGUCAGUCAGUCACAGCAGGCAAGGCUCGGCAGUUUUGAAACCCAUGUGAACAGUGUUAAGCUUCAAGGAAAAAGAUUCAAUGAACUGUAUAUCAUAUGAUUCUGUAUAAAUAUAUCCAUGCAACAAAAGUGAUUUCUGGAACUAGAAGUAAUGCUGUUGGAGAGGCAAACAAUAUGAAUAAGACAACAGAAUCUCCGUCUUGUUGAAAAAGUGAUGUUUUUCUCUAUACAAGUUAUACCAGUAAUGCAAAGGCCAAGGACAUGGAUAGUGGUUUUUAAUAUUUAUAUAUAUAUGUGUAUUGAUCUUUCUUACCAUAAGAUAAACUGACAUUCUAAACUAUAAAUUAUUUACAGUGCAACUUGGUUUUGUAUGGAUUUACUUUACAUGAGCAAGUAUUAAAUGAAUUAUAUUUUUGAUUCUAAAUAACAAAUUUUCAUCUUGUUAUUAUUGAUUAGACUUUAAGAUAAUAUGCCCAUUGGGCAUCUGACAUUGUUCUGUUUGGUUUGCUUUAUUUUGUUUACAGCCAUUAAAGGGAUGUCAGGUGUUGAAUGUAUAGAGGAAAGCCUGAGUACCUGAGAUAAACCAAAGAUCUAUGAUCAGUACCUGGCAAUUGUCCAAUGUGGUUUUCAAACUCACAAUCCAGAAGUGAAGGUUAUAAUGGAACAAUGUUGGGACACAUUAACCACUCGGCCACUGUGGACCCUGACAUGACACAUUCUGAGUGGUAAUAGAAUUGUUUGAGAAUGAUCUAGUACAUUUCUGAAGAAAUUCUAGAACAAUUCAAGACUUUCUCAGAGGACAUGUGAUUUACGCAUGUGCUCUUUUCAUGCAUAUUACACACGUAAUUUACAUACGAGAUACACACGUAGCUCUUUUCGUCUCCUCCACAUGCGUAUUGAUUCGCACGAUUCUCGCACGACAGAUUUUACAUGCGUUUAACGCAUAUGAUACGCAUAAUUUACGCAUGUAGCUACGCAUGAUCCACGCAUGUCGAAAUUUACACACGAGACACAUGCGUAUUACGCAUGAUAUUCAUAUGAACUCAACGCACGAUUUAUGCGCGUGCUCUUUUCUGCUUAACCA